GUCUUCGUGGCUCAGUUGGCUAGAGCGUUGGUCUCAUAUUCGUAUGAUUCAGUCAAUAGACUGGGCUAUCCAAAGGUCGUGAGUUCGAGCCUCACCGAGGACA